rnacentral:rRNA from 1 species
CAGUAGCCACGGGAAUACGGAGGAUCCAAGCGUUAUCCGGAAUCAUUGGGUUUAAAGGGUCCGUAGGCGGUCUUGUAAGUCAGUGGUGAAAGCCCAUCGCUCAACGGUGGAACGGCCAUUGAUACUGCAGGACUUGAAUUAUUGGGAAGUAACUAGAAUAUGUAGUGUAGCGGUGAAAUGCUUAGAGAUUACAUGGAAUACCAAUUGCGAAGGCAGGUUACUACCAAUUGAUUGACGCUGAUGGACGAAAGCGUGGGUAGCGAACAGGAUUAGAUACCCCCGUAGUCCCUGUCUCUUAUAA